GAUUUAGCAGCAGUCACAUUAGCUUAGAUAAUGGCAGAAUUUUUCUUCAUUGAAAAUGCUCGCUGUCGCUUGAGAAGAACUUACCGAGGCAGCCUGCCAUCUAGCUUUUUCACAGAAAAACAGGCUUGCAGACUGCAGAUGAGAGUCUGGAGCAGAGACAGUUUAACUUAGCCGUUCCUAAUUUAUCUCAAGCGUUUUCAAUUCAUCUUCACUGCUCUGUGCACACAGGAACACCAGAUUGCCUUCCCUGGGGAACAGAAUGCAACCGGGGAAUCUAGAGAGCUGUCACAUUCCAAGAAAUAUUUAAAUUGUGCUGGUUUUCUUCUGGAGAGCUGAGCCCAGGGAAUGAAACUCUCCAUCCAGUCGUAGCUUUGCGGGCAAUAGAUCAGAGGAUAUUGCCAGGUUCCUAAUGGAUUAUUGUUAUCGGGCAGGUUUUCUCUGAAGGGACUGGAGAUCAGCCAGAUCAGUGGUGUACACAAAGCUGCUUUGGAUCUGUCUUUUCAAAGAAGAACUCCACAAAAUGCAACAGCAAGGUUGAAGCAUUAUUCCAUUCUGGGUGACAAUAAUUUUUAUACAGGACAGAUUAUGACAGCUUCUUUCUUAAGGUAAGAUUGGUGACACAGUUUGUUCCGAGGGAACAUAUACGUUUUAUUAACAAAAAUAUUCCAUAGUUAAAAUUUGCUGGUAGUAGCUACAUUUUGCUUUGUUUCAGGGAUCUUAUCAUUAGUGCCAUGAUCAUAUUCCUUUUGUUCAACUGAAUCACUUCCACAAUAAUUCUGAGGAUGUUUCUAAAACAGCUACUGAGUAUAAUAUAUGUAGCUUGGUGUUUUAAUUAAAACAGAACUAUGUUAGCCAUGAAAGUAGACUAAUGGAAUAAAAAUAAAAUAUAGUAAGACAACAAAUAAAAUAUACUAAUAUAAGUAAGCUGACUCCUAGUGAACCCUUCACAAUAUAUUAAUAUCUUAAAUUUUCCUAAAAAUACAAACACAGUGGCCUAUUAAUUUUCAUGAACCUCUAGACUCUUCAGUUAAUUUCCUGUGUAGUUUUGCUCUGUCUGCUUUGAUAGUCACAAGUUGGCUGUUCAUACCCAAUGCCCUGGCCAGAUUACAAAAGCAAAGGAUUUGAUUAUAAAGAUGCCAACACUUGAAGCUUCAUGUUUUUCAGAUAAAUGUAAACAGAAAUAUUUUUCUUUUUUGACUUGAAUUCAAUAUCUAACCCCUGCUAACCCUUUAUUUCAAACUAAUUUAUGACUUCUACAAAUUUUCAGUCUUUCCUUCCAUAAUUCUGUUAUGCUUCUAUGAUUUCUCUCCCUUCCCUAAAGUGAGGACUUUUUAGCCCAUUAAUCUCAGCAAACUAUUAAGCCUUGUCAGCAGAGAAAAUGGGUAUGAACUUUGUGUGAGCAAUUUGAAGAAAAAGAAGUAAUUGGCGUUUCUCCUCUCAUCUUGUAUUCUCCUCCAAUAAUGUGACUUGUAAUGCUUUUUAGAUUUAUGUAAUUAUCAUUAUUAUAUACUGCUUAUCUACAAAAACAAUAUGUAAAAGCCCAUUUUAAUUGUAUGAAAAGGCUUGCUGGGGAUAGUAUAUCAGUAGAGAUGGCCUGUGAGGGUUCAUAAGCUCAUUCCAAUUUCUUUCUGUGUAUGAAUGAAAUGUGAUCUCUCUACUUUCUGCUUUGGCUACCAGGCCUUCUCCAUCCAUGAUGGAUUCUACCCUUGUGGAACUGUAAUCUAAAAAUCAACCCUUUCUUCACUAAGGUGUUGUUUUUUUUUUUCAGUCAGGAUAUUUUAUCACAGCAACAAGAAAGUAACUAAUACACUCACAUUUUGGAGUUAUGUAAUAAAGUAGCUAUCAUUGUCACCCCGUAGUAUAUACAUUUAAAAAAGUUUUGUUGAACAAAUUAAAAACCAUUUCCAAUGGUUUAAAACAGCCUUAUUCUAGUUUAAAAAAUGUCAUUAUCAUAGUCCUGGAUUUGAACCACGAAGGUUUUUGUUUUUGUCUUUUAAUUCUAAAUUUACAAUUGUAAACUAUUAAUUAUAAUGAGCUCAUUUGAUGAAAAUAGUUUUCUUUUAAAAAAACAAACAAUUUUAUGUCUGGGAAGUAGGUUUAUCGUGAGAGAGAGAG